AGAUCACUAGGGCCGCUCAGGGAAAGGGAAGCCAGAAGCCUGGCAUGCCAGCAAAAGGGGAGUGGAAAAAAAUGGAUAAUUAUCAUCAAACCUGAGCCAGAAUAGAAAACGGAAACUUUACCUUGAAGAAGUCAAUGAGAACAUCUUUACCUUCUAGCCAAAUGAUGUUGUGAAGAUAUUGCAGUUCUUACAAAUUGAAGGUCUGCGGCAACCCUGCAUCUAGCAAGUCUAUCAGCACCAUUUUUCCAACAGUAUGUCCUCGCUUCAUAUCUGUCUGUCUACAUUUUGAAUCUCCAAGUUUUCGCUGAUCAUAUCGCCAGCCCGGAAAGAUGAUAUUUCCCAGCUUCCCUUGCCCAUGUGUGUCCACGUGACUAAGUUCUGGCCAAUGGAAUGUCUACAGGUCACAGUGAUUCUGGUGUGAAGCAGAGGAUGGGCCAGAAAGAGAUUCAAAAUGCUACAUCUUCAAAUCACUUCACCUGUCCCGCCAGUAGCCCUUCAGGUCCCUGGCAUCUUCAACUCCUGCUAUCCUCAUGUAGUCAGCCUUGCAUCUGAAAGAAUGGACAGAAACACACACGUGACAAGACAAAGACAAGAGGCCGAGCAAGAUAGCCAAAUGGAAGCCUCCACUGUCCACCCCACCCCACAGAAACACCAAAUUGAAAAACUAUCCAUACAAAAAA